CACCAGAUCUUUAGCUAACCUGUGUUAGACCACCAAAGCUCUCGUGUGCUCUUGUCACAGUUAUUAGUCUUGCUUACCUUGUUUUUCUUUUUCCAGUAACCCACCCAGUCAUCUUGUUCACCUAUUAACCUACUAACAAUACUCAUCUUUAUUUGGACGCUGGUCUUCUCAGGAGCUUCACUGUAACAGUCCAUGCUCUACUCCUCUCUUCACUCCAUCUACCUGCCUCCCUGCCACGGCUACUGGGAUUCAUGCGAUCACGACAUCUGACAGGAAACUCACCCGGACCUCUCUGACUGCUUUCCCCACCACGUUGUCCUCCACCUGCGAACGAUGACUGAGCACCUUCUCUGAACCACGACCCAUUUCCUGAGAUUCACCUUUAGCCCCCCUUCAUGGACUCUUUAGUCUGUAUAGUUUCAUCACUCAUAGUUCAUGCUCCACGCCUGGCGCACAGUUCAUGUUUGAAUUAUAGUUCAAGAUUUUCAUAGUUCAGUUUAUGCUCCGCGUUUGUUCAUAGUUCACGCUUGUGCCAUAGUUAACAGUUCAAGUUUGCCAUAUCAGUCUGUAAGUAAAACAGUUAUCACGUCUAACGGUGCCUCCGUCCGUGUCCGGGUUCAUUCUCCUGACCUGGCCUCCCGGCCCUGACAAGCAGAUGCUGAAGCGCAUAGUGUUCAGAGGUCACCAACUUUCUACAGAGUUAAUCGCUGCAACCCUCCAAGCCUCAUGUGGCCUUCAGCUCAAGAACAGUGCAUAGAGAGCUUCAUUGAAUGGGUUUCCAUGGGCUAGUAGCUGUUGUAAGUUUUAGCAAUAUUGGCUUAUCUCAACUGGCAGCCUGUUAUAUCCGUAAUCUAAUAAUCAGGCCCCAUCUUAUCUUAAAAACCUUCUAAUAACAUAUCACCCCAACAGAGUACUUUAUUCUAUUCAGACUUACAAAGAUUUAUAAGAGGCUGACUGACAUAUU